rnacentral:rRNA from 1 species
CCCUUAGAUGUUCUGGGCCGCACGCGCGCUACACUGAUUCAUGCAACAAGUCUUAACCUUGGCCGAUAGGUCUGGGUAAUCUUUGAACGCUGUUCGUGAUUGGGAUAGACCUUUGCAAUUAUGGGUCUUCAACGAGGAAUUCCUAGUAAACGCAAGUCAUCAGCUUGCAUUGAUUACGUCCCUGCCCUUUGUACACACCGCCCGUCGCACCUACCGAUUGAAUGGUCCGGUGAAAUCUCGGGACGGCGGCUUGGUCGCUUGCGUCCGACUGCUGAAACUUGAUUAAACCAUAUCAUUUAGAGGAAGGUGAAGUCGUAACA